AACGAACGCUGGCGGCAGGCUUAACACAUGCAAGUCGAACGGUACAGCAAUGUACAGUGGCGCACGGGUGAGUAACGCGUGGGAAUAUGCCCUUUAGUACGGAAUAGCCUCGGGAAACUGGGAUUAAUACCGUAUACGCCCUUCGGGGGAAAGAUUUAUCGCUAAAGGAUUAGCCCGCGUGAGAUUAGGUAGUUGGUGGGGUAAUGGCCUACCAAGCCUACGAUCUCUAGCUGGUCUGAGAGGAUGAUCAGCCACACUGGAACUGAGACACGGUCCAGACUCCUACGGGAGGCAGCAGUGGGGAAUAUUGGGCAAUGGACGAAAGUCUGACCCAGCCAUGCCGCGUGAGUGAUGAAGGCCUUAGGGUUGUAAAGCUCUUUCGUUGGUGACGAUAAUGACGGUAACCAAAGAAGAAGCCCCGGCUAACUUCGUGCCAGCCGCCGCGGUAA
rnacentral:rRNA from 1 species